GACAGAGGGUGCAAACGUUGUUCGGAAUUACUGGGCGUAAAGCGUGUGUAGGCGGCUACGUAAGUCGGAUGUGAAAGCCCCAGGCUCAACCUGGGAAGUGCACUCGAUACUGCGUGGCUUGAGUAUCGGAGAGGUUGGUGGAAUUCUCGGUGUAGAGGUGAAAUUCGUAGAUAUCGAGAGGAACACCGGUGGCGAAGGCGGCCAACUGGACGAAUACUGACGCUGAGACACGAAAGCGUGGGGAGCAAACAGG
rnacentral:rRNA from 1 species